rnacentral:tRNA from 2 species
GGACGGGUAGCGAAGUCUGGUUAAACGCGGCGGACCGUAAAUCCGCUCUCUUACGAGUUCAUAGGUUCAAAUCCUAUCCCGUCCA